GAUGAAGAACGUAGCGAAAUGCGAUAAGUAAUGUGAAUUGCAGAAUUCAGUGAAUCAUCGAAUCUUUGAACGCACAUUGCGCCCGCCAGUAUUCUGGCGGGCAUGCCUGUUCGAGCGUCAUUUCAACCAUCAAGCCCUGCUUGCGUUGGGGUCCUGCGGCUGCCCGCAGGCCCUGAAAACCAGUGGCGGGCUCGCUAGUCACACCGAGCGCAGUAAUACAUCUCGCUUUGGGCGUGCGGCGGGUUCUUGCCGUUAAACACCCCCUUUUUACCAAGGUUGACCUCGGAUCAGGUAGGAAUACCCGCUGAACUUAAGCAUAUCAAUAAGA
rnacentral:misc_RNA from 1 species